CAGUAAAAGUUCAUCUGAUGAGCAAACAUGUUGAGUCAGACAAAGCUAGUAAUUUACACCUUGGUGUCUUAGUAGUUGCUAUUGUCUGCUGGUCAGAGUGAUUGAUGUCACUGCUUCGACAUGGGUACAGCUCUGAAUGAAAGAAAAGAAAACAACCCUACAAAAAAGGGCACUCAAAUAUACAGAAAAGGUGCUCAAGAGGUUGGAGUUCUGAUUACUGACCAAUUACUCAAUAACUGUCAUCCAAAACACUUAAGAUAAUGCACAUCCAAGAUUCUUUGCAAAGGUUUAUAAAUAAGCAUUAUGUUUAAAACAUGAACAGAUUUGACCUGCUGUGCAUUCAGUACAGACAUAUUUGAUAGAUUUUGGUGUUGUAAAUGAUAUAAUCUGCCAAAGUUUGACUAACAGGCAUAGACAAGUCACUCUGACUCAGUAAGAAUUAGCGACAUGAACAAUAACUGGUCAAGUUUCAAGCUUCCAUGAACAAGAAAACCAAUUAUCAUGAAAAGUUGAAAAGCAGUUGUUAGAAUGGUGUGAAAUAAGAUAUCAUUCCAUCAAGAGAGACUAUAACAGGACAGCAAACUCACAAGCAGCUCUCAUUACAGUUAAGUGUAAUAUUUCAAAUAACAGAAAUUAAUAAUCAACAGUUGCAUGAACACCUGCACAGAGAAUUGGAUGGUUUUAUGAAUUAAACACUGGUGUCUCCCUCUAACAUGUAUGUGCUUAGCAUCUUUUGUAGCUUGAAAUUUAUAAGCAUUACAGUUGCUAAACUUCACAUCUUUUAUCUGCCCUGCAAUAUAUUAUAUAGAUUUGAGAAGUUUGUGUAUUGACAUGACUUGUCUAUGCAGUACAGUUUUGAAAAUGUAUUGUGUAUACAGUUCAUAAUUACAUGAGAGCAUUUAAACCUUUCA